GCCUGGGCUAAAGUUGAAUUUGAAGACAACAAAGUGAUACACUAUGCUAAACAAAGAAGAAGAUUCGAACAAAAUGGAAAUAGUGAAGAUAAGUUUUCUGAUGCCUUGUUAUUUCCUUUGAUAAAUUUUACCUUCUCUCUUUGAAUUAAUUUCAUUUUUGCUAUUAAAUGACCUUAUACUAAAAUUUAACAUUUUCUUCUUAAGAUUCAGGUUGCAGUGCACCCAGGAAAUGUCUUGGCCUUGCACAUGUAUAAACCACAAGGAUUUAAGUACUCUAGUGGACAGUAUAUUUUUUUGAGCUGCCCUGAUGUCUCGCCUUUUCAAUGGUGUUUGUGUGGAAGUUUAUCCACUCCUGAUUUGCCAGUGAUUGGAUAUGACUUGCCUCUUCUUUUCCAACCAAUGUUGAUGUCAUGAUUACGGGUGGAGCAACAUCACCUGUUUUCUACAAUUUGAGGCGAAGGUGGUUAUGAGUGGACAUUUCUCUUUCUUCUUCUUUUUCUCUCUGUGACUAUUGUACUCAGUCCUUCUAAUUGUACACACUGUACUCUUAGAGGUUGAUUCUCAUUUUUAGUA